rnacentral:rRNA from 1 species
CACACUGUAAACGAUGAUAACUCGCUGCCGGCGAUACAUUGUUGGUGGCCAAGCGAAAGCAUUAAGUUAUCCACCUGGGGAGUACGACCGCAAGGUUGAAACUCAAAGGAAUUGACGGGGGCCCGCACAAGCGGAGGAACAUGUGGUUUAAUUCGAUGAUACGCGAGGAACCUUACCCGGGCUUGAAAUGCAUCUGACAGGAGCAGAGACGCUCUCUCCCUUCGGGGCAGAUGUGUAGGUGC